UACGGGGGGAGCAAGCGUUGUUCGGAAUCACUGGGCUUAAAGGGCGCGUAGGCGGGUGCUCAAGUCCGGGGUGAAAUCCUCCAGCUCAACUGGAGAACUGCCUCGGAUACUGGGUGUCUCGAGGGUGGUAGGGGUAUGCGGAACUAUCGGUGGAGCGGUGAAAUGCGUUGAUAUCGAUAGGAACUCCGGUGGCGAAGGCGGCAUACUGGACCACAUCUGACGCUGAGGCGCGAAAGCCAGGGGAGCAAACGGG
rnacentral:rRNA from 1 species